rnacentral:rRNA from 1 species
AAGAAAAACCCCUAACAACGGAUGUCUUGGCUCUCGCAACGAUGAAGAACGCAGCGAAAUGCGAUAUGUAGUGUGAAUUGCAGAAUUACGUGAAUCAUCGAAUUUUUGAACGCAUAUGGCACCCGAGACCUCGGUUGAGGGUAUGUCUGCCUCAGAGUC